UGCUGUUCUUUAGGAGUAAAUUGUUUUGAAAACAAUAAAAAAGUGUUCGGAGCACUUAGCAGCAU
rnacentral:tRNA from 1 species